UACGUAGGUGGCAAGCGUUGUCCGGAAUUAUUGGGCGUAAAGCGCGCGCAGGCGGUCCUUUAAGUCUGAUGUGAAAGCCCACGGCUCAACCGUGGAGGGUCAUUGGAAACUGGGGGACUUGAGUGCAGGAGAGAAGAGUGGAAUUUCCGGUGUAGCGGUGAAAUGCGUAGAUAUCGGAAGGAACAUCAGUGGCGAAAGCGACUUCCUGGACCAAUACUGACGCUCAUGUGCGAAAGCGUGGGGAGCAAACAGG
rnacentral:rRNA from 1 species